rnacentral:rRNA from 1 species
AUGCAAACUCGUUUGACGCAAGUGUUUGAUCGUGAUGAAGUUAAGGAGAAGAAAGUUGUUUUGAAGAGGAAGAUGUCAGAUCGAAAUCCUGAUGGCACACAGAGGCGUAGCCCACGUGUGAAAGCUGGUUCCCAACAUGGUAAUAGCAAAGCUGAUGCAGAUAGUGUUGCUGUGAAAAUUGGUCCAAGCAAACUUGGUGGCUCCCCUGUUCGUCGGAGUCCACGAGGUUUGACAAAUAAGAAGCCUUCUUCGUCUCCUCUUCAAGAGCGGUCUUUGUUGAAAGAAAAUAAGAAGCGUAAAGUUCAUCCUGUAAAGGUGAACAAAGGUGUGAAGAAGUGUGCUCAUGUCGAAGCUGAAGAUGCUGUAUCUGAAGAAGAUGAUAUUGAAGUUGAUUCAGAAGAUGAAUUUAAAUUGAACUUAACUGUGCGAUGUUCGUUGAGAGAGGUUGAAGCUUGUGCUAAAUUGCUCGAGAGUCGAUCCUGA